UACGUAGGGUGCAAGCGUUGUCCGGAAUUAUUGGGCGUAAAGAGCUUGUAGGCGGUUUGUCGCGUCUGCUGUGAAAAUCCGGGGCUCAACCCCGGACUUGCAGUGGGUACGGGCAGACUAGAGUGUGGUAGGGGAGACUGGAAUUCCUGGUGUAGCGGUGAAAUGCGCAGAUAUCAGGAGGAACACCGGUGGCGAAGGCGGUUCUCUGGGCCUUACCUGACGCUGAGGAGCGAAAGCGUGGGGAGCGAACAGG
rnacentral:rRNA from 1 species